UAAGCAAUUAAAAUUACAAUAUUAGCAGUUAUUUUAGAUACAAAAGUACGAACAUGACAAAUUAAAUAAUGGUAAAACUAUUUUGUAACGCGUAGCAAAAUGGCCAAAAUGAGAAAUUACAUUGGAUAUUAUGAUACUAUUAAUCAUUAUCACACGGCGAAUAGUUGAAUAUUUUCAUGGUAACAAGUGGUAACGUUGAUUAUUGGG